GACGAACGCUGGCGGCGUGCCUAAUACAUGCCAGUAGAACGCUGAAGGAGGAGCUUGCUUCUCUGGAUGAGUUGCGAACGGGUGAGUAACGCGUAGGUAACCUGCCUGGUAGCGGGGGAUAACUAUUGGAAACGAUAGCUAAUACCGCAUAAGAGUAGAUGUUGCAUGACAUUUGCUUAAAAGGUGCAAUUGCAUCACUACCAGAUGGACCUGCGUUGUAUUAGCUAGUUGGUGGGGUAACGGCUCACCAAGGCGACGAUACAUAGCAGACCUGAGAGGGGGAUCGGCCACACUGGGACUGAGACACGGCCCAGAGUCCUACGGGAGGCAGCAGUAGGGAAUCUUCGGCAAUGGACGGAAGUCUGACCGAGCAACGCCGCGUGAGUGAAGAAGGUUUUCGGAUCGUAAAGCUCUGUUGUAAGAGAAGAACGAGUGUGAGAGUGGAAAGUUCACACUGUGACGGUAUCUUACCAGAAAGGGACGGCUAACUACGUG
rnacentral:rRNA from 1 species